UACGGAGGGUGCGAGCGUUGUCCGGAAUCAUUGGGCGUAAAGGGCGCGUAGGUGGCCCGGUCAGUUCGUGGUGAAAGCGCGGGGCUCAACCCUGCGUCGGCCAUGAAUACUGCCGCGGCUGGAGCACUGUAGAGGCAGGCGGAAUUCCGGGUGUAGCGGUGGAAUGCGUAGAGAUCCGGAAGAACACCGGUGGCGAAGGCGGCCUGCUGGGCAGUUGCUGACACUGAGGCGCGGACAGCGUGGGGAGCAAACAGG
rnacentral:rRNA from 1 species